UUUAAUUAACUUGAAAAAAUAUGUUUUAACAUAAUAAAUUAUAACUUAAGAAAUAAUUCAAUCAUAUAAUUUCAAAAUAAAGGAUUUAAGAAUGAAUGUGACCUAAAAUUUCUCUGAAAGCUUUGUUAAUCAAGUAUUAUCUUAUGUGAUCCUAUGUAGAAUCUUGCCUGGUUUUAACUGUGCCCUACAUUUAUUUUAUUUCGUUCUUGAUUAUUGAAGUAUUUUUCAUCUGAAAUAGGUCCUGAUGCUGUUAAAAGAGUACCAGUUCAUAUGCGCCUUGGAACCCUACCUCGUAAACGGCUUAUACAGAUGACUAAAGAUGUUGAAGCAGCUUUUAUUAAUAGCAGCAGUGAUGAUGAGACUGAUGUAAAUAUAAAAUGUAAAAAGCAAAAUAUUCGUAUUGUUACUGAAAUGUAUGGAAACAAAGAUGCAGAAAUUAACAAACAUCCCACUGAAAAUGAAGUGGAAAGGCACGUUUCGAGAGAAAGAUUACGAAGAUUGAAGAAUUACAGGUGAUCAUUGUAACAGGUGCAUCUUUGCCAUGGCGAUAUUUUGCUACAGAUAACAGUGACAUUAAAAACUGUUUCCUGUUUACUUUAUGUAUAUGAUUAACUGUGUUGAAAGUUGAACAGAAAAUGUACAUAUGAUGUCCAAUACUGCAUGUCCAGAAAUGCAUUCAUUUACACUGGAUGAAUAGUUGAAGAGAAAAUACAGCUUCCAUUUUCUGAUGCAAGGACCUGUAUAUGGUUUGAAAUUUGUACAUAUUGUUAUGUAAAUACAAUUGAUUUUUUUUUUUAAGAUGCUUGGUCGAGCUUUAUAGUCUCUCAAAUGUUCAAAAUUUUAAUUAUGCAUUUGUGGGAGCAUAUCCAUAAUGGAGAGUUAUGAAGUUCUCCUCCAGACUCUUAUUUUAUUUUAAUAUUCAACUGCCAGCUAUAAAAAAAAUUUCAAGAUUUAUAUAAUAUGAUUAACAUAAAAACUUUUGCAGCAAAAUUAUUAUUUAUUAUUAUUUUGGGUGCAUAUGGGUUUCACAUUUAGGUUUAGAACAUACAAAUUAUGUUCUGAACCUUAUGACUGUUAUGAUACUCUAAAAUUUAUUGUUUUAGGGGGGAUUUCAUGUUUGGUUUUGAAAGUAUUUUGUACUGUUGAAAGCCUGGAGUGAAAUAAUUAUGCUUAAAUUGUAUUUGUUUUGCAAAGUAUGAAAUUUCAUUCUAGCAUUAUGUGUAUUCAAGUAGCAGUGUCAUGCAACUAGCAAUUAUCCAUUGCCAAUUUACAAACUUUUAUUUGUGAAUAUGUAUUUGAUAACAGGACAUAUUAUUUUGUAUGAUUAGAGUAAUUAAAGUGAGAUUUGCCCAUUUUUAGUAGUAGAAAGAAUUUUUUAAUUUUGAAAAUGUAAACAAAGAUGUGAUAUUUGUCUGAAAACUGCAAAUGUAAAGUCGAAUAUUUUAUGUUUGUGUUUUCUUUGUCAAGAGAAGAGGUUGAACUUAGAGGAAUUGAUUUUAUUUCUUUUACUAAGGUUAUAGAAAUAGUAACAAAAAUUUGAAAAAAAUCCAAGAACAUUUACAUGUUCUUAAUUAAAGGUAAUUUUGAAUUUGAGGAUGAAAUGCAUCCUCAAAGUGAAAUCUUUAUUAAGUAUGUUUGUUGUAUUUUAAGGUUGUAUUCUCCCCUUCUUCUGUUUACUUCUAUAGCUGGCAGUUGUCUUAGAAUACUUUUUAUACUAAUAUAUAGAAACUCAGUCCAAAAUGUUUAUCUGAAAUAUAUUAAUUUGAAAGAAUACUCAGAUUUUUAGAAAGGGAUUACUUUAAUUGUUUAGAAAUUAAUUUCUUAUAGUUAAUUAACCAUUUUUUCAAUUUGAGUGAUAGUUAAAUGUCAUUGUGUACACAAUCAACAUAUAAGAGUAUUAAAAUCAACUCAAAACUGAACAGUCAAUUGCAUGCAAGCUUUAUUUAAAAAUUUGUACCUAAUUUCAUAUUAACAGUUAUUUCUGUUAUUUGAGUAUUAUUUUAAUCAUUUUUAAAACACUAUAAAUUUGUUACUCAUUCUUUAUUUAACCUAGCUAGUGAUAGUCAGUUCUAAUUUAAAACCCUAGAUUUAUAUCAGAAUAUUAAUGCAAGUGUAAUAAAUUGGAAUGCUCUCAUUAAAUUUAUCUGAAAAAUUUUUAGUAUAAUUUAAAAUUUCACAUGUAUAUGUAGCUUUGUAAAAAAAUUUUUCCCCCAAAUAAAGUUUCAAUAACUUGUUUUUA